rnacentral:rRNA from 1 species
UACGUAGGGUGCAAGCGUUGUCCGGAAUUAUUGGGCGUAAAGAGCUCGUAGGCGGUCUGUCGCGUCUGCUGUGAAAAAUCCGGGGCUCAACCCCGGACUUGCAGUGGGUACGGGGCAGACUGGAGUGUGGUAGGGGAGACUGGAAUUCCUGGUGUAGCGGUGGAAUGCGCAGAUAUCAGGAGGAACACCGAUGGCGAAGGCAGGUCUCUGGGCCACUACUGACGCUGAGAAGCGAAAGCGUGGGGAGCAAACAGG